UACGGAGGGGGCUAGCGUUGUCCGAAGUUACUGGGCGUAAAGCGCGCGUAGGCGGGUUGGUAAGUCCGCUGUGAAAGCCCGGAGCUUAACUCCGGAGGGUCGGUGGAUACUGCCAGUCUUGAAGGUGCUAGGGGGAGAUGGAAUUACCGGUGUAGCGGUGAAAUGCGUAGAUAUCGGUAGGAACACCAGUGGCGAAGGCGGUCUCCUGGGGCAUUCUUGACGCUGAGGCGCGAAAGCUGGGGGGGAGCAAACGGG
rnacentral:rRNA from 1 species